CAGCCGCCGCGGGAAUACAGAGGGUGCAAGCGUUAAUCGGAAUUACUGGGCGUAAAGCGCGCGUAGGUGGUUUGUUAAGUUGGAUGUGAAAUCCCCGGGCUCAACCUGGGAACUGCAUUCAAAACUGACUGACUAGGGUAUGGUAGAGGGUGGUGGAAUUUCCUGUGUAGCGGUGAAAUGCGUAAAUAUAGGAAGGAACACCAGUGGCGAAGGCGACCACCUGGACUAAUACUGACACUGAGGUGCGAAAGCGUGGGGAGCAAACAGGAUUAGAUACCCGUGUAGUCCCUGUCUCUUAUAC
rnacentral:rRNA from 1 species